GCAUUGGAUGUUGGAGAGGAAACUAGCAGAUGCAGAUGUAUCUGAAGAAGAGCAAAACAAUAUACUGAAAGAUUUAGAAAAAAAGGAGGCGGAAUACAUGCGCCUACGAAGGCAUAAAAUGGGCGUUGAUGACUUUGAAUUGCUCACCAUUAUUGGGAGAGGUGCAUUUGGGGAGGUGAGACUUUGUAGAGAAAAAACUACAUCCAAUGUGUAUGCAAUGAAAAAGCUUAAGAAGUCUAAAAUGUUACGAAGAGGGCAGGUAUUCCAUGAUGUUUACUCCUGCCAGGAGACUAUGUAUCCCUCCAAAAAAAAGUUGUCACCGUUUUAUUGUUUUGCUUCCAUGUACUAUUUAGCUUCCAGAGAUGCAUGUAUAUAUAUAUCUCAAGAACUGCUACUAGAGCACUAAAAUGUUGAAAACAAUUAUUAUGGUGGUGGACAUAAUACAUCUAAAGACAUGUUCAUCUAUUAUCAUUGUUCACAUAUUUUCCAAAAAUAGUAUUUACUACUUUCAAAUUCAUCUAACCAUACAGUCUGAUUAUAUCCCUUCUAGAUGAAAAAAAUUCUAACAUUCGUAGAGAUUUCCUGCAUGUCAUGAUUCUGAAUGCUUCCUCUUCUAUCUCCUCCAGCAUAUAUAUUUGGAGCCAUUCUGCCUGCUUUUAUGGUCGCAGGACUUUACUUCUUUGAUCACAGCGUAGAUUCACAGUUGGCACAGCAAAAAGAGUAUAAUUUGAAGAAGCCUUCUGCCUACCACUAUAACAUUUUGGUCCUUGGAUUCGUGGUAUGUGGCACAUGAGUCUGUCAUACAAAUUGUUUAUUUAGAGUGUUCAUUUGGUUGUAAGUUUAACCUCAGUUUCUUGGGAUCUCAAUCACAUUCGUCAGACCAAGUGUGACAAUCUGUUUGUCUUCCAACUAUAGUAGAAAUGAUACAGAUGCUUGGUCUGUGUUUUUAGUUCAGAUAUUAUGGCUGUUAGUUAGUUUCUUUUCUCACGAUAUUAAAUGCCAGUCCUACUCUGCGGUUUGCUUGGUAUCCCUCCAUCUAAUGGAGUGCUUCAUCAGUCUCCCAUGCACACAAAAAGUCUUGUUGUCCUUAAGAGGCAAGUUGGUGAAAUUCAAAUCGAUUCAUGUGGUUUGCUAACCUAAACAGCUUUCUUCAUACAUUUACAUCUCUUAAGUUCAGUUGCUAAGCAAAAAGAUGGUUGAUACUGCCAAGGAGAGCAUAGGAGGAAGUGCUACCAGUUUGGAAUUAUAUGGCAAGAUGGAAGAAGUUUUCAUCAAAAUGGAUAGCGAAGAGAAUAUUGAUUCUGUUGACAGGGAGUUGAAGAACUUCAAUGAUGCUGUUCUGCAAGAAGGCAACGAAGAAGGGAGAUUGGCUAGAGAAUUUGACUCUCGCAAACAUAUAGAAGCCCACUUGCCUGUUCGAGUGAACGAAUAGAGACUGAGCAAUCUGCUGCAGUCCAUACUGGUUGGUGGGUGUGUUGGAGCUAUGCCAGUCAUCAAGAUGAUACCCACAUCGGUCCUCCAGGGUUACUUUGCCUACAUGGCCAUUGAUAGUCUACCAGGGAAUCAGUUCUGGGAGAGGAUACAACUUCUGUUCAUUACAGAAAGACGACACUACAAGGUUCUUGAAGGUCCCCAUGCAUCGUUUGUGAGGUUGAUAUAAGCUUUUACUGUAGUACACAAUCAUGAAACUCUUUUAUCUUUGAGAGGUUGAUAUAAGCUUUUACUGUAGUACACAAUCAGUUAGUGACCUAAAUAAUGAUCUUAUUCAACUAACUUUAUCUUAUUUUGUAGCCUUGUGCUUCUUUCUACUGAGUUGUCUUGUACCAACUAAAAAUAGAGGUAUUUCAUCUCAGGUUCUCUACUAUGUGUAAUCUCAUAUCAAGAUUAAUGAGUAUCGUGAUCAUAUAACUUUGGUGAGUAUCCAUGGAAUGCCCAGAAUCUUAUCAACCCAUAUGGCAAGGCAAAGGAAAUGACAGUGGACAUCAUCCUAGAUUUUACAAAAUCAAAGGAGCAACCAGACAUGGCUGUCAUGAUCUAAGAUACUUCAACAUGAUUGGAUCGAACCCAGACAUAUGACUAGGAGAAGCUCCAAGGCCACUUUGUCAAGGGUCUCUGCAAUGCACUUACUGGUGCAUGAUUUACUGGAGGUUGUGUGCAUGAAUGUGCCACGCAUUGGUAUGGGGGUUGGAGUUGAAGCAGGUAAAUUUCACCAACAUUGGUAUGUGAACUGGAGUUGAAGCAGGUUAUUCAUUUGAUGAAAGUGUGCGUAUAAUCUUAACCUAGCAAAUGCUGAACAUGUGAGUCUGAAAUUAGUGAGUGUGAACCUGUGAUUUAGUCUGAAAACUGAGAUUGACAGCCUUUUGCAAAUGAUGAAGCUGUUAAUAUGAACC